rnacentral:rRNA from 1 species
GAUGAACGCUGGCGGCGUGCCUAAUACAUGCAAGUCGAGCGAACAGACGAGGAGCUUGCUCCUCUGACGUUAGCGGCGGACGGGUGAGUAACACGUGUAUAACCUACCUAUAAGACUGGUAUAACUUCGGGAAACCGGAGCUAAUACCGGAUGAUAUAUUGAACCGCAUUGUGCAAUAGUGAGAUACGGUGUUUCUGUCACUAAUAGAUGGAUCCGCGCUGCAUUAGCUAGUUGGUAAGGCAACGGCUUACCAAGGCAACGAUGCGUAGCCGACGUGAGAGGGUGAUCGCCCACACUGGAAGUGAGACAGGGACCAGACUCCUACGGGAGGCAGCAGUAGGGAAUCUUACGCAAUGGGCGAAAGCCUGACGGAGCAACGCGGCGUGAGUGAUGACGGUCUUCGGAUCGUAAAACUCUGUUAUUAGGGAAGAACAAAUGUGUAAGUAACCAUGCACGUCUUGACGGUACCUAAUCAGAAAGCCCCGGCUAACUACGUG